UCUAAGGAUAAUUUCGGAAACCUGCACUUUUAUCGUAAACUUUGUUUAGUUUUGAGAGAUCUACUCUCAAACUUGUUCUUUGAAAACUAGAUAAUAUCUUUUAUUUCUUUGUUAAUUAAAAUAACCGAGAACACCGCGUUUUAAAGAGUUUAAAACAUUUAAUGUUUGAUCGCUAAACUCAUAACCAUUAUCGUAAGAUAAUAUAGGUUAAGUUAUUAAGGGCGCAUGGUGGAUGCCUUGGCACUAGGAGCCGAUGAAGGACGUGACUAACUGCGAUAAGCUUCGGGGAGUUGUAAGUAAACUGUGAUCCGGAGAUUUC
rnacentral:misc_RNA from 1 species